GUGAGGAAUUUUCCGCAAUGGGCGAAAGCCUGACGGAGCAAUGCCGCGUGAAGGAUGAAGGCCUAUGGGUUGUAAACUUCUUUUCUCAGAAAAGAAUUAUGACGGUAUCUGAGGAAUAAGCAUCGGCUAACUCUGUGCCAGCAGCCGCGGUAAGACAGAGGAUGCAAGCGUUAUCCGGAAUGAUUGGGCGUAAAGCGUCUGUAGGUUGUUUAAAAAGUAUUCUGUCAAAGAUUAGGGCUUAACCCUAGAUAGGCAGAAUAAACUUUUAAGCUAGAGUUUGGUAGAGGCAGAGGGAAUUCCCGGUGGAGCGGUGAAAUGCGUAGAUAUCGGGAGGAACACCAAAGGCGAAGGCACUCUGCUGGGCCAAUACCAACACUGAGAGACGAAAGCGAGGGGAGCAAAUGGGAUUAGAUACCCUGGUAGUCC
rnacentral:rRNA from 1 species